CAAUGUGGGGUUCACGUGUGUAUCAUCGUUUUCUGUUUAUGUCUUCACGGGCUUUGCAUUUUGGCUGGAAAAUCGUCUAGGGUUGCGUACCUCAUCUUCCAGAUUCUUCGUCGACUGAGACGCUCCCAAUUCCUAACUCCUAAGUUUCGUUUUUCAAACUCGAUCUCUUCGACUCCUCCACGUUCACUACCGAUUUCGCGAUAUGUCUUCCUGUAACGGAUUCUCUAGCCUAAUUUAUAUAGAGUUCCUUGAAGGAGUUGGUCGAUCGAUAUGAUUUCUACCCGAACUAAAUUUUCGUCGUUGACUGAGGAUGGUCCGGUCGUGUUAAUGCAACUGGAAUGAACGGAAGGAUGAAGAGAACUGAUUCCAUUGAACAAUGAGUUAGAGGCGGGAGAUACAGACACAGGAAGAGGCAACUCUUCCUGUGAGACGCCUUCCAAUUGGCAGCCAAAACCCAGAAAGAGGUGUUGUGAGAUGGCCCAGCUGGAUUAGGAAGAAUGUCUAGCAGCCGCAGCUAAAGUCGUUGUUGCUUAGAUUUAUGCAAGAAUCUUUUUCCGGGAGAGGUGUUUACGUUUGGGUAAGAGGUUAGAGGCUUCUACGAGUGUAGGACAGGAGUCAGAAGACAAGGUGAUGGUUACUAACUAAUCCCACGACUAGGAAAAAGUAUAAGCAUAAGGCGAUCGGUCAUGCCGGACAUGUUAUUGAUCCUGGCCGUAUGCGAGGAAGAUGAAUCAUUCUAUAUCUAUCAGUAGCUUAACUCUCUUCACAUCCAAUACAAUGUGUUUACAGUUCUCUUUAUCUUGACUUUGUUGUUGUUGGUUGUUUAUCUAAUGAAUAAGAAAUCCAAAGUCAUGUAAAAAUUAAGUUCCAACAAAUGAUUACCGAGAUUGUAUGUUAUAGUUACUAAUAUGUGAAUAUGGUGAAUUCUAUGAAUGUUAUAAUCAUACGAAAGCAUUCAGCCCGAACUUCAUUGCCACACCCGAGGAGCUCAACACCGCAUGUAGCAAGUGUUUUCACUUCUUUUGGUGUCUGAGUUCAUUGAGAUGAUCAUGGGUCUCAACACAGUCGGCCCCCGUUGAGGAGUUCAUGUUAUUUUUAUUUCCAGUUUUUAAUGUUUUUAUUUUCCCUAAUAGUUGUGUUAUCGACUUUCUUCUCGAAAGUGA